rnacentral:rRNA from 1 species
GAUGAACGCUGGCGGCGUGCCUAAUACAUGCAAGUCGAGCGAAUGGAUUAAGAGCUUGCUCUUAUGAAGUUAGCGGCGGACGGGUGAGUAACACGUGGGUAACCUGCCCAUAAGACUGGGAUAACUCCGGGAAACCGGGGCUAAUACCGGAUAACAUUUUGAACCGCAUGGUUCGAAAUUGAAAGGCGGCUUCGGCUGUCACUUAUGGAUGGACCCGCGUCGCAUUAGCUAGUUGGAGAGGUAACGGCUCACCAAGGCAACGAUGCGUAGCCCACCUGAGAAGGUGAUCGGCCACACUGGGACUGAGGCACGGCCCAGACUCCUACGGGAGGCAGCAGUAGGGAAUCUUCCGCAAUGGACGAAAGUCUGACGGAGCAACGCGGCGUGAGUGAUGAAGGCUUUCGGGUCGUAAAACUCUGUUGUUAGGGAAGAACAAGUGCUAGUUGAAUAAGCUGGCACCUUGACGGUACCUAACCAGAAAGCCACGGCUAACUACGUGCCAGCAGCCGCCGUAA